UACGGAGGGUGCAAGCGUUAUCCGGAUUCACUGGGUUUAAAGGGAGCGUAGGUGGGCUGGUAAGUCAGUGGUGAAAUCUUUGGGCUUAACCCGAAAACUGCCAUUGAUACUAUUUGUCUUGAAUAUUCUGGAGGUAAGCGGAAUAUGUCAUGUAGCGGUGAAAUGCUUAGAUAUGACAUAGAACACCCAUUGCGAAGGCAGCUUACUACGGAACUAUUGACACUGAGGCUCGAAAGCGUGGGGAUCAAACAGG
rnacentral:rRNA from 1 species